rnacentral:rRNA from 1 species
UACGUAGGGUGCAAGCGUUGUCCGGAAUUAUUGGGCGUAAAGAGCUCGUAGGCGGUCUGUCGCGUCUGCUGUGAAAACUCGGGGCUUAACCCCGGGCCUGCAGUGGGUACGGGCAGACUAGAGUGCGGUAGGGGAGACUGGAAUUCCUGGUGUAGCGGUGAAAUGCGCAGAUAUCAGGAGGAACACCUGUGGCGAAAGCGGCUCACUGGACCAUUACUGACGCUGAUGCUCGAAAGCUAGGGGAGCAAACAGG